rnacentral:rRNA from 1 species
CUACGGGGGGCAGCAGUGGGGAAUAUUGCACAAUGGGCGCAAGCCUGAUGCAGCCAUGCCGCGUGUGUGAAGAAAGCCUUCGGGUUGUAAAGCACUUUCAGCGGGGAGGAAGGCGGUGAGGUUAAUAACCUCAUCGAUUGACGGUACCCGCCGAAGAAGCACCGGCUAACUCCGUGCCAGCAGCCGCGGUAAUACGGAGGGUGCAAGCGUUAAUCGGAAUUACUGGGCGUAAAGCGCACGCAGGCGGUCUGUCAAGUCGGAUGUGAAGUCCCCGGGCUCAACCUGGGAACUGCAUUCGAAACUGGCAGGCUAGAGUCUUGUAGAGGGGGGUAGAAUUCCAGGUGUAGCGGUGAAAUGCGUAGAGAUCUGGAGGAAUACCGGUGGCGAAGGCGGCCCCCUGGACAAAGACUGACGCUCAGGUGCGAAAGCGUGGGGAGCAAACAGGAUUAGAUACCCGGGUAGUC